UUGCAAUAGGGGUUGGGUGUCUCUGAUGCAUUAUAUUAUUAGCUGAACCUUUCCUUUCUAUAAUGUCAACUGUUAAUUGAGAAUUUUAUAUAUUAAUGUAAAAUAAUAAAAAAAAAUUAUUUGAGAAUAGAUAAAAAUUAUUACAUUCUAUUUUUAAAUAAAGAUCAAGCAUUCAUGGUAGACUUCAUGGUGAUGAAGACUAGACUACCAGGC
rnacentral:lncRNA from 1 species